rnacentral:rRNA from 1 species
UAAGUCAGUGGUGAAAGCCUGUCGCUUAACGAUAGAACUGCCAUUGAUACUGUAAGUCUUGAGUAUAUUUGAGGUAGCUGGAAUAAGUAGUGUAGCGGUGAAAUGCAUAGAUAUUACUUAGAACACCAAUUGCGAAGGCAGGUCACUAAGAUUUAACUGACGCUGAUGGACGAAAGCGUGGGGAGCGAACAGGAUUAGAUACCCUGGUAGUCCACGCCGUAAACGAUGAUAACUCGGUGCUGGCGAUAUACGGUCAGUGCCCAAGCGAAAGUGAUAAGUUAUCCACCUGGGGAGUACGAUCGCAAGGUUGAAACUCAAAGGAAUUGACGGGGGCCCGCACAAGC